UACGUAGGUGGCAAGCGUUGUCCGGAAUUAUUGGGCGUAAAGCGCGCGCAGGCGGUCCUUUAAGUCUGAUGUGAAAGCCCACGGCUCAACCGUGGAGGGUCAUUGGAAACUGGGGGACUUGAGUGCAGAAGAGGAAAGCGGAAUUCCACGUGUAGCGGUGAAAUGCGUAGAGAUGUGGAGGAACACCAGUGGCGAAGGCGGCUUCUGGUCGUGUAACUGACGCUGAGGCGCGAAAGGCGUGGGGAGCAAACAGG
rnacentral:rRNA from 1 species